GGUGGGGUUGGGGGUUAGGGUGGUGUUGCUGGUGAGUGAGGGUGUAAGGUUGGGUGGUGGGGUGGAGCCGGUGGUAAAAAUUAUUCAUAAAAAAAGUACCUCUUAAUGAUAGUCAGACUUUGUUCAAGAUCUUAAUGAUUAAGAUCUAUUCAUACCAAAUAAGUUGUUAGAUCUUAAUGUAAAUAAAUGCACUUAAGGGUAUAAGAUCUGAACCCUUCAGAUUCAGACCUCCAUUAAGUGCAAACAAAUGAGGCCUUAAUUACGCAUUGCUUUCUCCUCUGCCUGAAACGGUUUUUUUUUUUUAAAAAAAAAAAAUUUAAAAAGCUUUUAAAGAAUCUUUUGCAGUUUUUCUUUCUCAUUGAGAAUUACCUUUAAUUUCAAUCUCUCUCAACAUAAGAAAAACCCCUAUAGAUAAAAAAAAAAAAAAAAAUACCGUCGAGAAGAUGGAGACAUACUUGCAGACCGGAUUGAUUAAUUUCGGCAAUAAGUAGAUCAUCUUUCUCUUGGCGUAGGACAAGUGUGACUUGUGGAAUUAUAUUGAUGCCAUAAGCCUGCUUAUUUUCCCUGUGUCCUGCAGCGACGCAAUAAAUAUUCUUGCUUUGUUGGGGUGAUGAUGUUGCUAUUGUGAUUUGUCGAGUCUUCUUAAUGAGGUAUUAUUGAAUCACUUGUACUUAACGAUAGAGAUUUACAAACUUCUACUAAAUAUCAAUCCUUUUAAGCAAAUUCAAAUGCCCUAAAUGAAAUUGAAGAAUUUGAAUCUAGGUAAUAACAUCAUGAGAGAGUAAAAGUAUUUUUUAGAGACACGACACAUCCUUUGCAUGCUAUAUUUUGAUCAGGACAAGCAAACAACAAUCAAAUUGCUUGGUUGUUUGAAAAACUUAAUUCUAGUAAAGCUUCUAGGCAUAUGAUGUCUAAGCAAGGGCUGAAUCCACAGCACCUCUCCUUGUGGAACUUUCACUUAUAGAUACUGGACAUUUUGUGGAGUCAGGACAACCCGACCUUAUGUGCCACCUUUUGGAUAUCCCAUCAUCACUAAUCUCAAGUCUGGUAAUUAUAUUUGUUUUGCUCAUUUCUUUUACUUUUGGAUGAAUUUAGUGUCUGCAAAAAAGGUUUUUUUCCCUGAUUUUUGUACUCCUUUUUAUAUGUUGAUGUUCUUAUGUAUGUGCUUCAAAUGAACAUAGCAACGUUAACUAUGAGAGAAUAAGAUUUUGUAAAUUUUGUUAGCAAAGCUACUCAUUUGAUCUCAAAUCUCGCUUGAGGGAAGCUGCUACUAAACUUGAUUUUGUAAAUGAGAGUUACCAAAUAUUGGUCAAUAUCUUUUUCUUCUUAUUAUGUAGCUAUUGAUUGUUAGUUGCAAGAUUCUUAGGAACAAAAGACAAUAGGAUCGCAGGAAGAGCUUCUUGCUAUAGAGCUUUAAAGAAAGUAAUAUGUGUGUGUAUAUACACACACACACAAAAGCAGGACAACAACCCAGUGACAUAGCGCAACAUAACAGAGAUAUGUGUUUAUCUAGCGUGAAAGGACUCUUUCAGUUACACACGAACAAACUCUCUCAGUUACCACCGAACAGAUUCUUUUCGCUACAUGCGAGUUGAGAUCAUUUAAAGAUCCCCAAUCAGUUAACAAAAACUAAAAGGGUCCUUCACCAGCCAUUAAACAUAAAUACAGUAAAACAGUAACUUCAAUAUUUCCUUUUGCUGUAGGCCCUCUGCCCCAUAAAUUCUUUAAGAAAUAAAACACAAUCGGUUUCAAUGUUUUCUUUUGAUAAAGAUAAUUCACUUAAAAGAUAUAUGAAUGGAAGAUUUUGGUGACGAUGCCUUUUUUUCCAAUUGAUUAUGUGUUUCACCUACAGAUGUUCAUAUAUCUUUGUACGCCCAAAUAACGUUUUUCUCUUUUAAAGAAUUUUGCAGGGACAAUGACUGACUGUUGAGCAAGAAUGAGUCAUUUAGUGCACCGGUUAGUUCAGAUGGAUUCAUAAAUCACAAAGGUAUUAUUUCCUAAACAUGUUAAGAGUAGUAUAACUUAGCAUGUCUAUAAGGGUAUUCUCUGUAUUUCCCUGUGGUGCCACUAUUCCUAAAGUUUCUUCAUGCAUAGUAGAUGCUCCAACACAUUUUACUGGUCGAAGACUCAUUAAUUUGUGCAAGUUUGCAGCCUUGCGGGUAAAUGUUAUCCAAGAUAAUGCAAAAAGGCUAGCAGAUGUUUUCCCUAAAUAAUAUGGAUAAAUGCUUUGUCAAGAAAUCAUCAGAUAAAAGAAAGACAGGUGAUCUUAUUUUGAAUUAGAUUAUAAAAUCGUAACGUGAAGGGGAGCCUUAGAGUAACUGGUAAAGUUGCUGCCAUAUGACCAGGAGGUCAUGAGUUCAAGUCGUGAAAACAGCCCCUAACAGAAAUGCAAGGUGAGGCUGCGUACAAUAGACCCUUGUGGUCGGAUCUCCCUGCGUACCAUAGCAGGAGAUUAGUGCACCGGGCUGCCCUUUUUAAUAAAACCGUAUCGUACAGUGUCGGGCACACACUUUUUUCCUAGGGUAAUGAGAUGCUUUGGCUUUUACCUUAAAGCCUUAGAUAGAAGUGCGGAUACUUCACAAGCUAGAAGAAUCAUUUGCCUUUGGCAAUUUUGAGUGAGAAUUCUUUUAUGAUUAAUGUUACGAUGGGGAAAUGUGUUGAUGAUAAAAUUGUUAGAAGACUUCUCCAAUCAUUUACUAAAGUUCUUGAGGUAUGUGACAAUGUCAAAUCUUCUAAUUUAUGUUCGAAUGUUAUAAUAUCUUAGUUUUAUGAGGAUUACAUUUUCGGAUAUUAGGAUAGGAUCAUUAGUAAGUUUAAUGAGAUCAUUUAUGACCACGCGAAGCGCGGGAAAAUUAACUAGUUAAUUUAAUAUUUAGAUGUUUAUUCUUGGGUAUAUAUCCCUUGUAGAAUAGAGUUUAAAUUUUAAUAGAGCAAUGUUUAAGUAACGUCUCCCAUCCACAUGGGUCCCAAUUAGUAGGAUAUUUAAAUUUGAAUAUACAUAUGAAUAUUAAGAUGUUGUAUUAUAUGAAUAUUAAAUAAUUAAGACUAUUUAUUUUCUCAACA